rnacentral:rRNA from 1 species
UGGGGAAUUUUGGACAAUGGGCGAAAGCCUGAUCCAGCAAUGCCGCGUGUGUGAAGAAGGCCUUCGGGUUGUAAAGCACUUUUGUCCGGAAAGAAAACCUCGUGGUUAAUACCCGUGGGGGAUGACGGUACCGGAAGAAUAAGCACCGGCUAACUACGUGCCAGCAGCCGCGGUAAUACGUAGGGUGCAAGCGUUAAUCGGAAUUACUGGGCGUAAAGCGUGCGCAGGCGGUUCGCUAAGACAGAUGUGAAAUCCCCGGGCUUAACCUGGGAACUGCAUUUGUGACUGGCGGGCUAGAGUAUGGCAGAGGGGGGUAGAAUUCCACGUGUAGCAGUGAAAUGCGUAGAGAUGUGGAGGAAUACCGAUGGCGAAGGCAGCCCCCUGGGCCAAUACUGACGCUCAUGCACGAAAGCGUGGGGAGCAAACAG